AGAAAAAGAUAAAGAAAAGAGAAAAGAAAAAAAGAAAAUAGAAAUAAAAAAGAGGACAGAAAAAUAUGAAAAAAAGAAGAAAGAAAAAAAGAAAAGAAAAAAACAGUAGAUGAAAAAAGAAAAAACAAAAGGAAAAACGAAUAAUGACAAGAGAAGAAAGGUAAAGAGAAAAGAAGAAAAAAGCCAAGUCAAAAAGUAAAGAAUAACUCGAAGGAAGGAGUGGAUGGCAAGAAAUACAGAGAAAGCAGUGCAUAGCACAGCAGAGCAAAGCAAGGCAAAAUAGCAGCCAAAGCCACGAGAAUCAAGAAGUCAGUGAAGAGCAGGAAAGGAAUGGAGGAAUCUGUCCAGAGCUGUGCCCCUGCUUGCCACAGGAGCUGCGCGGGAGGAGAAGAACGUGGGCCAAAAGGUAAGAGGAGCUCCUUUGGGUUCUGGGCUUGAAGCAAAGCUGAGAAGCCAUGCCCGGGAGGAGGUGUGGGUAGCUACAGGCCACCUUGCUAUCUCCCCAAGAGAUGAGGUGCGUGGGCUAGGCACCGGGCAGGAGUGCUGGCCAGAAGCAAGCAUCUCUGUGGAGGAAGGCAAAGGGCGGAGGAGGUUCAGGGUAGCUACCGGGCAUGGCCUUGCUCAGCAAGGGGAGGAAAAGCCUGAAGGGCACGAGAAGGGGAUAGAGAAGGGCAGGCAGUAGGCGUGAAGCUGCGAGCAGAGUAGAGAGCAACUUGGCAGAGCAGCAAGCAGAGUAGGCAAGUGUUGAGGUUUGGCGUGAGUAGCAGCAAAAGCCCAGAGCAUCAAGAAGCAGGAAGUGAGGAGAAGGUA
rnacentral:lncRNA from 7 species